ACGAACGCUGGCGGCGUGCCUAAUACAUGCAAGUGGAACGCAUGAUUGAUACUGUAGCUUGCUACACCAUUAAUCAUGAGUCGCGAACGGGUGAGUAACGCGUAGGUAACCUGCCUACUAGCGGGGGAUAACUAUUGGAAACGAUAGCUAAUACCGCAUAAGAGUUUUUUAACACAUGUUAGAAUUUAAAAGGAGCAAAUGCUUCACUAGUAGAUGGACCUGCGUUGUAUUAGCUAGUUGGUAAGGUAACGGCCCACCAAGGCAACGAUGGGUAGCCGAUUUGAGAGGAUGAUCGGCCACACUGGAACUGAAACACGGUCCAGACUCCUACGGGAGGCAGCAGUGGGGAAUAUUGCGCAAUGGGCGAAAGCCUGACGCAGCGACGCCGCGUGAGGGAUGAAGGUUUUCGGAUCGUAAACCUCUGUCAGAAGGGAAGAAACUACGUUGUGCUAAUCAGCAGCGUACUGACGGUACCUUCAAAGGAAGCACCGGCUAACUCCGUGCCAGCCGCAGC
rnacentral:rRNA from 1 species